GCUGUGAUGAAUGUAACAGCUUUGAUCAGCUGAGAUGAUAGGGCUCAUGUGUCCUCUAAGAAGUUCUGAGCAG
rnacentral:snoRNA from 11 species